AUACGGAGGAUCCAAGCGUUAUCCGGAUUUAUUGGGUUUAAAGGGUGCGUAGGCGGACUGGUAAGUCAGCUGUGAAAGUUUGCGGCUUAACCGUAAAAUUGCAGUUGAUACUGUCAGUCUUGAGUGUGCAUGAGGUGGGCGGAAUUUGUGGUGUAGCGGUGAAAUGCUUAGAUAUCACGAGGAACUCCAAUUGCGAAGGCAGCUCGCUGGGGCAUAACUGACGCUGAUGCACGAAGGUGUGGGUAUCAAACAGGAUUAGAUACCCUGGUAGUCCACACAGUAAACUAUGAAUACUCGCUGUUUGCGAUAUACAGUAAGCGGCCAAGCGAAAGCAUUAAGUAUUCCACCUGGGGAGUACGCCGGCAACGGUGAAACUCAAAUGAAUUGACGGGG
rnacentral:rRNA from 1 species